rnacentral:tRNA from 1 species
GGGCUCGUAGCUCAAGGGCAGAGCAUCCGGCUUUUAACCGGACGGCGAAGGUUCGAUCCCUUCCGAGCCCACCA